AAAGUUUUAACCACACAGACCAUGUGCAUUCAUCACUCUAAAGAAAACCAAUCAAAUUCACUUUAGUAAACAUACCACGAGCAGAACAACCAUUCGACAUUCAUAACCAGCAAAGAUUGAGCAUAGAACACAUAUAGAAAAAUUCAAAAUCAAAGUAAGUUAUGAACCUCAAAAUAAUAGCUUUUUCUGAUUACAGUAGCAGUGACGGAACAGGAAUCGAGACCAGAGCUUGACCAGAAAUCCUCGUUGGCAACCUCGAGCUCCGACCAAGCACCGGAAAUUUUUUAAUCGAACCCAAAUGCCUCAACUACUCCAUUCCGAUACAACUUGUGAAAUUCAUAUAGCCAUAAAGUCCAAACGCUGUAGCUCUCAAUUUUUGACAAUAAACAUGAUGAGAAAUGAAGUAGAGAUACGAAUUUGAAUUUGGAAAGUAAGAUUUAGCAAUUGUUUUCACUUUUCAUAUUUGUACGACUUUUGUACAAUUGAAUCUGGGAAUUAACGUGUGGUACUUUGUUAUGAUUGCUAAUGGGCUUUUCUUGUUCCUCUCCCAAUUUUGGACAGAGAUUCGCCGUCCUUUUAAACGUGAGUCCUUUUGCUCAAGUGAGGAAAAUCAGAGGGGCGACUCAAUAUUUUGAGGGAGUGGAGUGACGGCUGGAAAUGGGGUUGUAGGGAUUGAAAAACUUUGGGUAGGUUUUUUAUAAUUGGGUAUUUUAUAUGGAGGUAGGGAAGGGAUGAUGGCCAUUGGAUUAGAAAAAAAUAGAUGGUUAGGAUUAAAUCUUGCACUUAAGUGGGUUAAUGGGUUAGGAAGAAUGGGCUCGGGGUAAUUGGGUUGGACCAUGUCUUUUGGGUUUAAACUUACGCUAAAGACACCAAAUAAUACAAUGUAUCUAUAAAAAUAUAAAAAUUACUCUAAAUUUAAAUAAACUAAUAUAAAACUAAAUACUACGAGUGAAACUAAUUUUUUUUUUGUAUUUUUAUUUUUUGUGAGAAAAUAAGGUAAAAGGGUCAAAACUAAUUAAAAUAGCGAUUUUAGGCCUAAACUAACAUUUACAUGUUAAANNNNNNNNNNNNNNNNNNNNNNNNNNNNNNNNNNNNNNNNNNNNNNNNNNNNNNNNNNNNNNNNNNNNNNNNNNNNNNNNNNNNNNNNNNNNNNNNNNNNNNNNNNNNNNNNNNNNNNNNNNNNNNNNNNNNNNNNNNNNNNNNNNNNNNNNNNNNNNNNNNNNNNNNNNNNNNNNNNNNNNNNNNNNNNNNNNNNNNNNNNNNNNNNNNNNNNNNNNNNNNNNNNNNNNNNNNNNNNNNNNNNNNNNNNNNNNNNNNNNNNNNNNNNNNNNNNNNNNNNNNNNNNNNNNNNNNNNNNNNNNNNNNNNNNNNNNNNNNNNNNNNNNNNNNNNNNNNNNNNNNNNNNNNNNNNNNNNNNNNNNNNNNNNNNNNNNNNNNNNNNNNNNNNNNNNNNNNNGUCUCUUAUCUUAGGAGAAAGAUUCAUUAGACUAAGAUUUUGAUCCUAGGAGAAAGUUCAUCAUACUAGGUCUCUUAUCUUAGGAGAACAAUUCAUCAGACUAAGAUUCUAUCCUAGGAGAAAAUUCAUCCGACUAGGUCUCUUAUUUUAGGAGAAAGAUUCAUCAGACUAAGAUUUCUUUUUAUCUUAGGAGAAAAAUUAAUCAGACUAAGAUUUUGAUCCUAGGAAAAAAUUCAUCAGACUAGGUCUUUUUGUUAUCUUAGGAGAAAGAUUCAUCAGACUAAGAUUUUCUAUCCUAGGAGAAAAUUCAUCCGACUAGGUUUCUUAUCUUAGGAGAAAGAUUCAUCAAAUUAAGAUUUCUUUUUAUCUUAGGAGAAAAAUUCAUCAGACUAAGAUUUUGAUCCUAGGAGAAAAUUCAUCAGACUAGGUCUUUUUGUUAUCUUAGGAGAAAGAUUCAUCAGACUAAGAUUUUCUAUCCUAGGAGAAAAUUCAUCAGACUAGGUUUUCAAUCUUAGGAGAAAAAUUCAUCAGACUAGAUUUGAUUGGGAGGAAAAUCCAUCAAACUAGGACUUUUAUCCUAGGAGAAAAAAGGUGAAGAGCAAUGGCAACAUUUUAUGCACACUAGCAAGACAGGUAAGGGAAAAGAUUUGAGAAACUCCCCUUUGUCGAUUCUUCUCUUUUUUUUUCCUUUUCUUUCCUUUUCUUUUUUUUCUUGUUUUUGAACCCACUUGCUUGCACUGCUUUGUUCCUGUUUCAAACAAAGAAAACUUGUAAGUUUAAAUGUGGUGGUUAGUUUGUGGCCUUGACCUUGAGGGCAGCUGCUUCUACACUUGCCAAAAUAACUUUGAUUUCAACUUGGACGACCUUGACUGUUAUCGACUACCCAUUUUCUUUCAACCCUUAUCACAGAAAACACCUCUGCUCCAUUCGAUCCCAAUAUCCUCUAUCUGUUGCAUUUUGCUCAUGAAUUGACAUUUACCGAACCCUUGAAUUUCACAUAAAUCCCAAUGCAUGUUGAUUGUUACCAACUCAAUGCGCAUACCACUUUUCCUUGACUUAUGCCAUUUUAAUGUGCUAGACAAAUUCGUUUUGUGCAAUUGGAAAGUUGGUAGAAAAUUUUGAAGUCAUUUCUCACUUGUUCUGACCAAACAGGCUCAAGAAGGGACUCAAACAAAACAAGGGGAACAAAAUAAGGGACAAGGGAAAAAGAUGAUACCUAACAAGAAAAUUACAAAGUAAAAUCUUAUCAGAUGUGGAUACCAACUCUAAUGACCAUGACAUGCACCUUUGGAUUAAGUAGCCUAGUCUCUCAAGCAAGUCUAAUAUUCAACUCUUGUUGUACCUCUUCGCUGUGAAACUGGGCUUCAACGCUUCAAUUGUCCUAUUUGAUCCACAAUCCUCAGUCGACUUGUAGUGCCCUGAAGGGUUUUUACCAUCAAACCUCUCUCACUUUUCUCUUUUUCUCAACUCACCGUCGCCUUACGGUGCCCAUAAGGGUUUUCAGCGAUAAGACUCUCUCAUUUAUCAUUUUCUCUUUUUGCGAUGAGAACAAGGUAUUACCCAUGAUGUAGGAAGAUCAUACUUUCGCCACACACUUGAUUUGGCAUCCUCAAAGAUUGGUCGGAAGGUCUUUCUUUGGACCAUAAUGUAGGCUUUUGGAUAUGGUUAGAAAGAAAGGGUGGCAUGAAGGCUCAAAAUAACUAAGAUGAAAGGGUUCAAAAUUACAACUUUUGAAAUUAGAUCUUUUGGCAAAAUUAAAACUUCUGCCCCAGUUUCUUGGAGUUUGGGGAUUUUUUUGGAUUUUUGCUUUGAUGGGAUUUCUAAGAAAACUGCCCCACUCUUGACUUCGUGGAUCAUGCAAUAUUUUAUUUGAUGUGACCAAACCGUAAGGCUGCCUACAUAUCUUGUGAUGACAAGAAUCAGGUCAAAUGUAGUUCAAACACAAAGUUGGUUUUUUUCUUUUUUUUUCUUCUUCUUUUUCUCUUUUCUUUUUUCUUUUCUAGUUCCCAACUCUACUUCUGAUUCCAAAAGAGGUGUAUAGAACAAAGCAAAUUAAGGUUCAAAAGAGGUAGCAAAAGAUAAAAGUGUUUGGGUAGCAGAAUAAAAUGCCUUCGUCAUACCAAACCUUAAAAAUGCCAAGUACAAACAUGCAAUUGAAGAUAAGAAAAGAAAUCAUACACAGUAUCUAUUGACGGCAUCAACACAAACAAAAAGUGCCAAUGGGAAAUACCUUUGGCCCAAUGCAUGACCCUUGCCAGUUCGGAGCAAACUUGAUUCAACCUUAUCUUGUUGUGGAAGAAUGCAUUUCAACACUGAAUGAUUUACCUCAAACUGCUUGAGAGGAAUUUCGUUGUUGUAUGCUCUUAUCAACCUCUUGAUUUCCCAGACUAAUUGCCUCAGUUUCACUCAAUUCAAGCUUUAGGUUAUCUCAAGAUGCGUGAAUCUUUACUUGUUUCCUCAAAUGCCUCAUUUUAUCAUAUUCAAACUGUGUCAUUGCUUCAUGAUUAGACUAAAUUUCAAGACUAGACUGAGAAUUAUGCGUGCAUGUUAUGUCACUAGAGUCAGCAUGAAAAAAACUAUAAGAGGAAAAAUCACCUAAACAAAACUGACUAGAACUAACAGAAAACAUGAGAUUGCAUUAGGCAGAUGGUGAAAAGGGUUUGAACAAAACAAGAAAAAUAGACAUGGGUUACAACCCUGGAACAAUCCUAAAUAACGCUAAACGAGUUAGUACAACUAAACGAACUAGACAAAAUGAAAAGAAGAAGAAGAGUUUGAGCCACAAGAAAAUAUCCGAAUUACAAUCUUGAAAUAACCCGGACAAACAGAAAUGACAACAAAAUAAAUCACCAAAACUCUUCCUUGGCUAGCCAAGAAAGGAGUGUCUUUCCAAUCACUAAGCUCGACAUCUUAGCCAGUGGAUUGCACAUCAAAAUUGUUGGGACCUUUACCAAUUUCACUAUCGUUAACUUCAGUCAGCAUGUCACCAAAGUGUGCAUCAUCAUGUGCAGGUAAAGGAUUCUGCGCGAUAUUCUGGGUGUCAUUGUCCUGGACCACAAUUAUCCCUUCUUGAAUCAUUCUUUCUAUCUCUAUUUUAAAAUCCCGACAACUUUCGACAUUGUUCCCCUGGGCAUUAGAAUGGUAUUCACACCUUUUAGAAGAGUCAAAGCUUUUUGCACGCUUGUCCACAUGAUUCAGAGGAAUAGGUGCAAUCAGGUCAUAAUGCUUUAGUUUCUCAAACAAGUUUGCAUAUGACUCUCCUAUCGGUGUAAAAUUAUAUUUCAACCUUUGUUUACCUCUGUCCCCCUGGCUUGGAUGUGGGUUAUGAGACACUUGAAAAUUUUGUGGAGGCUGGUGGAGAUUUUGCACUGAUGGCGCUCGCCUUCUGGGGUGUCUUGGUGGCUGGACAACAUACUGGGGUGGAGCAACAGAGUACUGUGGGUUCUCAGGGGAAUUGUCAUAAAACAAACGAGGCUGGUCAUGCCUUCGAGAUGUUCUUAUAGGACCUCUUCUCGACCAUGAUGUCAUCAUGAUUUCUUCAACCUUCUCACUCGUGCCACUAAAAUUACUAGAUUCAAUUUGGACAGCCUGAGUUGCAGCUUUGAAAGUUGCUUGAAUUAUAAUUUUGCCUGUCUUGAGGCCAUUCUCUACUAUUUCUCCCAUUUUGAUUGCUUCCGAGAAUGAUUUGCCAACUGCGGAUAUCAUGUUUUGAAAGUAAUCAGGCUCUUGAGCCAGGAAGACAGUGAUUAGUUCGUGGUCAUCCAUGGGUGGCUUAACUCUAGCAGCUUGUUCUCUCCAUUUAAUGACAUAUUCCCUGAAACGUUUAGUCGGUUUCUUCUUUAGAUUUGAAAGGGAAUUGUGGUCUGGGGUAAUGUCGAUUUUAUAUUGGAACUAUUUGACAAAGGCAUGUGCCAUGUCAUCCCAUACAUACUAGCAAGAUGUGUCUUGACCCAUAAACCAUUCGGAGGCUACACCCGUAAGGCUUUCCCCAAAGUAAGCCAUCAGUAAUUCUUCAUUUCCUCCCGCACCUCUCAGUUUAUUGCAAUACCUUUUUAGGUGGGAUAUGGGGUCUCCAUGUCCAUCAUACAUUUCAAAUUUGGGAGUCUUUAAACCAAGUGGCAAACGAACAUCAGGGAACAUGCAUAGAUCCUUGAACACAAUACUCUUAUGACUUGCCAGCUCUUGCAUGUUUUUCAACUGUUGUUCUAAGCGUUUCAGUCUUUGGGUUAUUUCUUCCGAUGCUACCUUUGGGCCAGACUUCUCAAUCUUUGCAGGAAGAUCAAAUAGGUAAGAGUUGUACUCAGGAGGUGGUAUUGUUCUUGUUGGGUAGCAAAUUGUGACUCAUGAGUUUUACUCUGCACCACCGCUGGCUGUGGCGUGGUGAAGACAGGCAUAACUGUAGUGGUUGUCUGAUUGGUUGUCAAUGGCAAACUUUGGGAGUAUGCAACAGAAGUUUUAGCUAUAGUCGUGCAAUUGGGAUAAAGACUGAACCUAAAUGGAUAGAAUUGAUUGGACAAUAAAACCAGAGUGGUAGUAGCCAAGAUGGGUGUAAACUCUGGGAAAGCAUAGGAAAGGGCUGGUCCUUGACCAUUUCCCAUACUUGACACAUUUCAGACAUUUGUUGUUUCAGCAUUUGGACCUCCUCGUUCAAUUCAGAUUCCGACUCCACAAUCUCCCUCGAUGGGUCGACAACUCCCAUAUCCAAGUCUUUGCUUGCCAUGACUUCCUUGCUUUUUGACCUUGUGUCGUAUGGACAAAUCACCAAAGUGCCACAAACUAACCACCCUCUGUUAUAAUGAGAGUAACAAAGAGGAGCAAAACAAAGCCAAUAUGUUAGCGUUAGGACAUUUAUCAGAUAGAAAUAUCACAUUGUGUGAAAUGCCCCUAACAACAAUUAAUGGCUCUAAAAUGACUUCGAGGGCCACAAGGUCAUUUGGCAUCAUCCCAAUUUUGUUCAUUUCAAUUUUCUCUUUUCUUUCUUUUCUAAUACUUCUUGGCUCACUCAUUUUCCUUCCUCUCUUUUCUUUUUAAUCGUCAUACUUUUCUUUCCUCUCAUUUCUCACAUCCCACAACUUUUUUUUUCUUUUUUGAUAAUGAUUCGAUCGAACCCUAUGUAGGUUGCCUACGUAUCAUGCACUUCAUGAAUCAGAUCAAGCGUAGUUCUGGAAAAAUGAUGGACAAAAUAAACUAAGAAACACAAAAUCUUUUUUGGAAUUUUUCAUUUAAUAAUCUUUUUUGUUUUUUCAAAUACAAAAUAGGAAGUACUAUAACAAAAGACUCAAAAAUCUUAACUAGACUGACAGACUCGAUACUACUGUAUAAGACUAAUAAUUAAAAGACAACAUAAAAUAGACUAAAAAAUAAAAAGUUUCCUCAAGCAACUCGUGCAUGCAAUGGCCUUAACUAGAAUGGUCCUGGGUAUUUGUCAUGCUCAAACUCUAGAAAAUUGAUCUAUACCUGAAGGAGAAAAAUAAGAUCAAAUAGAGUUAGCGGCUCAAGACACUAUGCGACGCCACAACACCUCCUAUGGGACACAAGCAAGACGCGAUUGGGCUAUUUGUGAAAAUUAACUUAUGUGGCCAAGAGUGGAUAAAAGUGUAGACUCAACAAGUUGACCCCAUAGACAUGAAAAAUGCCUCACUAAGUCUUAUAUGGAUUCAAAUUCCCAAUAAUCAAGGCCAAAAAAAUUAAUUUGCAGAAAUGACCCAUUUUGCAAAAAUGGCAUAUGUGGCCGAAAGUGGCUAAAGAUGCAAACUCAAAAAGGAAGGACCUUAAAGUAAUAUGACACCGAGUUGUGGAUUCAAGAUCCUAAGACAUGGGUAAUUGAACCAUUUUUGCGAAAAUGACCCCAUUUUGCAAGAAUGGCCGAUGUGGCCAAAAGUGGCUAGACAUGCAAGAAUUGGCUAGGACCCCGCGAAGCCAAGAACCUAGGACUUACUAGGAAGACCGGACCCUAUGUGAGUUGCCUACGUAUCGUGUCUCGAAAGACGAGAAUCAGGUUCGCGUAGUUCGGGAAGAUUGGACAUGGAAGAAAGCCUUUAAAAAAAUGCAACUAAUUUGGAAAAACUAUAUUUUUUGGCUUUUUGAGAAAUGAUGGAAAAUGUAAAAUCUUUCUGGUUUUUCUUUUUCUCCUUUUUUUUUGAAUUUUUGGAAAAUGAUGGAAAAGUGCAAAAUCUUUUUUUUUUAUUUUCAUUUUUUUGUCUUUUCUUGAAAACGUUGUGAAAGAAAAAUAUAACUAGGCCCUACUUGCUUCAUUUUUCACCCUUCUUUCCCAAAGUAUCGAUCCGUAAAAUGACCUUUUUACCCUCAAAGAUGUAACAUGUUUCACAUAGGGAUGAUUUAAUGUCCUUUUGGGCCACGAGCCCAUUUUGACAAAACUUGGAUAGGCUUCCUACAAAGGGAUACGGUACCUGGGACCGAGCCCUGCUAGGUCUAAAUGACAUGAUGCAAGUAAGAAUGACCUAAAGGCUGACCUAAAUUUGGGGUUCACUAACAAGGCAAUUCGGGGGAGCGUAUGGUCGUUGGUGGCUGCUCAAGCUUUCCACCCACUCCAUACGUCCGACGGCCCCUCCUCCUAAAUUAAGGGUGACUCAACAAAGAGUUCGUGCACGCGACGCAUACUCUAAGACUUGUUGCAGAAAGAAGACUCAUGGUUAUGCAAAUGAUGACAGUUUAUAAAGCAGUAACACAUUAAGAAAAGCCAUAAAUAAAUAAACAACAAAACAAGAAAAUAAGACAAACAAAGCAAAUAAAGAAAACAAACACCUCAACCGAAUAUCCUAAAAACCAACAAGAUCAAGUACUAGCUCGAACCUGCAAGUCCCCAACAGAGUCGCUAGAGAUGUCACACCCCUUUUUUGCUACAAACCUCACUAACCCUCCUAAAAUAUAUAAAAGGAUUUGUAAAGCUUGAAAAUGGUUUUAAUUAAAAAGUGACAAAAAUUGUGUUCAAAAAGAUUUUUUUAGAGUCGCCACCUGACAUUGGUUUCGAUGUGCCAGGUCACCAUUUUUAAAAUGAUUUUUCUUUUAAAACACUUUAGACUCCAAAACCAAUUCUGCACCAGAGAUUCGGGUAAGGGGGUUCAUUUGACUUGGGGAGAAGGUGUUAGGCACUCCCUAAGUCCCGUAACUAGUAUGGUUGCAUACUUGAUCUAAUCAGCUUUUAAAAUAUUCAAGUUGAGAUAAAAACAAACACAAAAAAGAAAAGGAAAAAAUACACAAGAGGCUCGAGGUCGUUCCCGCCUAAUAAAAGAAAAAUAAAAAUAAAUAUAAAAUAAGUCCUCCUAGCCUAUACUAUGCCUCCAUUGAUGAUGCCACGGUCUCCAUUUACAUUUACUUCGGGGUAUUCCACGGAUAAAAAUAUAUACAAAUCCUUCGGGGCAUUCCCCGAAUAAAUUUAACUAAGAGGAACGACCUCUCACCUCAAAACUAACAAAAUCCUAAGGUUUGCCUACCCGCAUGUGGUCGGCCUAAGUAUGUUCCUAACGAAAGUAUCGAACAACAAAAUUAAUUUAAAUUACGACUCAACUUAACAAAUUGGCAUGGUAAAACAGUAAUCUAACAGCAAACUCGAGUACCAUUAAUUCUAAUCACUGUUGCGGUCUAUUUUAUGCUCUCGAUGAGGUUUAGCCAAAAAUUGGUAACCACACAGACCAUGUGCAUUCAUCACUCUAAAGAAAACCAAUAAAAAUUCACUUCAGUAAACACACCACGAGCAGAACAACCAUUCAACAUUCAUAACCAGCAAAGAUUGAGCACAGAACACAUAUAGUAAAAUUCAAAAUCAAAGUAAGAGAUGAACCUCAAAAUGAUAGCUUUUUCCGAUAACAGUAGCAGUGACGAAACAUGAAUCGAGACCAGAGCUUGACCGGAAAUCCUCGUCGGCAACCUCGAGCUCCGACCAAGCACCGGAAAAUUUCGAAUCGAACCCAAAUGCCUCAACUACUCCAUUCCGAUACAACUUGUGAAAUUUAUAUAGCCAUAAAGUCCAGACACUGUAGCUCUCAAUUUUUGACAAUAAACAUGAUGAGAAAUGAAGUAGAGAUACGAAUUUGAAUUUGGAAAGUAAGAUUUAACAAUUGUUUUCACUUUUCAUAUUUGUACGACUUUUGUACAAUUGAAUCUGGGAAUUAACGUGUGGUACUUUGUUAUGAUUGCUAAUGGGCUUCUCUUGUUCCUCUCCCAAUUUUGGACAGAGAUUCGCCGUCCUUUUAAACGUGAGUAGAGUGACGGCUGGAAAUGGAGUUGUAGGGAUUGAAAAACUUAGGGUAGGGUUUUUAUAAUUGGGUAUUUUAUAUGGAAGUGGGGAAGGGAUGAUGGCCAUUGGAUUAGAAAAAAAUAGAUGGCUAGGAUUAAAUCUUGCACUUAAGUGGGCUAAUGGGUUGGGAAGAAUGGGCUCAGGGUAAUUGGGUUGGACCAUGUCUUUUGGGUUUGAACUUAUGCUAAAGACACCAAAUAAUAUAAUAUAUCUAUAAAAAUAUAAAAAUUACUCUAAAUUAAAAUAAACUAAUAUAAAACUAAAUACUACGAGUGAAACUAUUUUUUUUUUUGUAUUUUCAUUUUUUGUGAGAAAAUAAGUUAAAAGGGUCAAAACUAAUUAAAAUAGCGAUUUUAGGCCUAAACUAAACAUUUACAUGCUAAAAUAUGAAAAAUCUUGGGGAGGG
rnacentral:lncRNA from 1 species